rnacentral:lncRNA from 1 species
UAAAUGUUAAUAGAUAAAUUUAAAUUUAACUAAUAGAAAAUGUAACUAAUUUUAAUUUAUCUAUUUAUCUAAAUACUCUUUAGGUAAUAUUUAUUAUUAUUAUUAUUAUUACUGAAUUGCUUAAAUCACUUACAUCAAAGAGAAUCACAUGUUCAUUUCUUGCAGCUUUAAAUUUGUAAAUUUUUUAUUGUAUCCUGUAUCGUACUUUAUAAAAUAAACAAUUUAAAUAAAUUAUUGAAUUAAAUAACAUUCAACAUACUUGCAUAUAUAUUUUCAUAUAUUUUGCAUACAUUCUCACACACUUAGUCUAAUCUGAUCUACUGUAUUCUAAUUGCAUAAUUCUUGCAUUGUGAUUGUAGAGUUACUCAUUUGAUCUGACUCACGUCGACGUAGCUGCCAAUGAUUACACUGACACCCCGCUCAGGAGCGACCAACAAGGCAUAAGCUAUGAACAAACUAACAAAGGCAAGUGUGAAUGCAAAAUUAGUUACGCACCUGGAUAUGAACUUUCUUGAUUUAACCGUGUGCAGUCUGAUCAGAAACCUGCAAGUCUACCUGUAAGUUUGCUUAAACUCUCUUUAUGUCUUUCUGCUCAGAUCUGCCUGUGUGUUCAGACUAUGUACAAGAGGACAAGACUACAGAGGAGAAGACUAAUCCCAUCGCAAAUGGGUCUUGUGGAGAGAAAACUGAACAAGCACCCACCAAUGACAACGAUUAUCAGAAUGUUCCAGAAGAGAACAGUUUCUCUUCAAACUCGAGCUUGAGUACACCCAUGAAGAACGAGGAUUUUAACCUGUACCUAAAUCUGCUUGGAGGUGAUUUAAACGAUUUGACCGAAGCUGAAGCCACCGAUACGACGCAAAAUGAAAACAACAAUAAUGUCAGUAAUGCUGGUCAGUAUAACCAAAAGAAAGUAAUUGACCAGCGUGCCUCUAGAAUGAUUUUUGGUCGAUUUUAUGAUUAAAAAAAUUACAAAAAUUAGGUCUUUGCAAUGGGUAAUGUUGUAAGUUUACAUUGUCACUAUGUUUUUAUGUUUUACAGAGCAGGGAGCAGCAGAAGAGAUCUUCACUGAAAUCAGUCUAGAUGAGCCAAACUAGCAUGCAUAGUGUGUGUUUCCAGUGCAGCGGUCAAGAUCUCGGGUGUCCGGUACCUAGAUCCAAACUAUAGACUAUAUGAGUGCAAAAGCAUCCUUCUGCCAUUCUCACUUUAAGUUCUGUUUCAUCUACUGCUAAAGGAGAUUGUAUACUGUACAUAAAAAAAGAACAUUGAAUCAUUGGUUGAAGUUUAUGUAAAAAUUUUAAUGCUUUAUAAAAUAAUUUGUGGCUAUAAUAAACAUUCGCUGUGUAAUGCAAUGCACUUGUGUGUGUUUGACUGACGCCUGAAGCUUCUUCAUUAACAUUCAUUUGAGAGUUUCACUAUAUAAUUUGUUCAGCUGAAGGUGAUGGGCACAAUGGGGAAAGACACAGAGAAAGAGCUUAAAUACUCCUGGUCUUCCUCAGUUUAAGAGGGAAAAUGGCCUAUCACCAGAAGAUGUAUCUUCACUGGCCAAGUAGUGCUUAAUUUGCUUUAUACAGUAUUACCCAAUCACGUUGUACAUAGUUGUGGCAUCGAACAUAAAGACUGCUGUUAUCCUCAACCAGCCCCUAAAUGAACCAGCUACAGUAAUCAUAUAACCAGUGUUGGGGGUAAUGCAUUGCGAGUAUAGCAAGCUAUUAAAAUUAACUUUAAAAAUGACAUUUUCUUGUGAUUGAGAAGAAAGUGUUGAACUUCCUUGCCUUAUGUCUUAUUCUUCAUGCAAUCCAGAAACAAAAACAAGAAUUAUUCAACAAUUCUUCUACUAUGGCGAGUACCACGACACAUGCAUGUGCAUUAUUCGGCUCGUAAACAAGGCGCAGCGCAAGCAUCAUGCUAUUCUCGAUAAUGCCGGUGUCCUGACAUUUUAUCCUACCCCUCAGAUUUUCCUACUAGGGUAUACUGCGCAUUCACACAUCAAUAUUGCGUCCUUUUUCUUGCGCUGAACAACAAUAUUUAAUGUAUCUGCAUUACUGGAAGGGUAGGUUUAGGGUUGGGGUAGGUGUAGACUUUAAUAAAAACACAAUCUAAUCUAGAAAAAAUUAUUUAUUGUUGGUUUCCUGUAGCCGUAUCCCUUCUAGC